CUGUUCCUACGGGGGGCAGCAGUAGGGAAUCUUCCACAAUGGACGAAAGUCUGAUGGAGCAACGCCGCGUGAGUGAAGAAGGUCUUCGGAUUGUAAAGUUCUGUGAUGGGGGAUGAACACAAUGACGGUACCCCAAUAGCAAGCCACGGCUAACUACGUGCCAGCAGCCGCGGUAAUACGUAGGUGGCAAGCGUUAUCCGGAAUGACUGGGCGUAAAGGGUGCGUAGGUGGUUUAGUAAGUUGGCGGUGUAAUUCCGGGGCUCAACCUCGGCGCUACCGCCAAAACUAUUAGACUAGGGUGCAGG
rnacentral:rRNA from 1 species